ACCUGAAAACAAAUUAAACUUUUACAAUAACAACAUGUUAUUGGAACGAAAUACUUCCUUUCAUCCGAUAAAAUUGACACCGUAACACUGAACACCUUCGACAACACCGAACUCCCUCGCGUUUCAAAACAAACUGAACCCAAUACAAACAAAACGGUCAGAGUUGUUCAGAAAUUAUCGACUGUAGAUUCGUUGGAUUGACAAUAGCGUGAGUGUGUAUGAGUGAUACAAAAAUAGAUUAUCCGAUUUGUGUAGAGUGCGAGGGGUGUUCGAAUGUUGAACAAUCUAUUUUUGUGAAUUAUGUAGUUGAAGGUUGGACAUUUCGUUGUUCGAUGUGAUGACGAACAGGAAUAUUCAGCGAAAUAUGAGUUAGCGGAAACAGAAAUAUUUUCCUGGAUUUAUCCGGGGUAAUUUCUGCAGACGUUAGCAGACCCUUUUAGUUAAGAUGAUAAGUGAUAGUUCCGAUUACUCGAAACAGUUUGAGGUGGAAUGUAUCGUGAAUCAUCGGUUAGUUUCCACAUGGGUGGAUAGUUAAGUUAAAUUUAGAGGCCCUAUCUAUGUUAUCUGAACAUAAAUCAGAGGUUGAAGAUAGUGUGUCCAGUUUAGUAUGAUGGUGAGUUAUGUAUUUUUAAAUAAAGUGUGAAUGCGAUUGUCAAUCCACAAGGAUCAUCUGUGGUUCAGGGUUAGUUUUUCUUCUUGUUUUCUUUUCUCUUAGACUGAUGAGUAUUUUUUUUAUGAAGGUUGAGAGGUCAAACUGAACAGAACUUUUCUGAUUUUUGCUGGAGACCGGAGUUGAGAAACGUUGAUGGUCAGUAACAGAGAGAACUACGGUUCCUCUCUGCAAAUAGAGGUGGAGUCGAUUUUUUUUUUGACGAUGAACACAUAUGACCCCGAAAAUAGCGAUUAGCUUUGUGAAGUUUGACAACUCAGAAGCCUUCGAAAAUUUGAUUGGUUUCAAAAUACUUAUUUUGAACCAAUCAAAUUUUCGAAAAUCUAGUGGGGAAUGAUGUAGCAUGGUACACAAAUUCAGAUAUGCCGGCCCCUUGAUUCUGCAAAGCUUUGGAACUGCUUCUUUUGGGCAACUAUCCACAAGAGGCAUUUGUAGGGUUCCACUGAGUGCUCAGACGUCGAUAGAACUGGGAUGACAAAAAUCAUUCCAUUCUAGCGACGCGGCACUCAGUAUUUUCUUCUUUGUUUUUGGAACAUGUCUUUUGUGGGAACGUUGAGCUGCAUCCUCACCCAAAGGGGGAGUGAAAGAGCUGUUCCUGUUUCGGGUUUGAAACUCUGCAAAAGAGCAGGUGCUUUGUGCCCAAAUAUGGGUUGGACGGAGGGUCCGACAAGAUCAGGAACUUGGGAUUAAAGGUGGAUGGCCUUAAUGAUUGAGGCAAUUGUUGCCCGCGAUAAUCGACUCUUAGAAAUGUUAUGUACUUGCGCACUUUUGUGGCAAUUACAUAGCGGAGACAAAACUUAUUUCGCGCCUGGGUGAUCUGAGGAUUUUUGAAAUUCUUCUCGGUCACUUUAUCCUGGAUCGUGGAAGAGGCUGGACCCGGCGGACAUCGCCAAGAGCCUCGGUGUAAAAGUUAAGAUAGUUUUUUUUAUAUAGUGGCUCAAAAACUAGAGACAGGAAGGAAAUAUCGUGCUUUGCGUGGUCAAAUCGAAAGCAACAAAUUCCCGAAACACCGUUUUGAAGUUAGAGCCGCUCCAGACCCCACGGUGCAGCGAGAAGGAGCCAGCCAACCACAAGCUGAAGAGCGCGAAGCGCUGGCAGGGAUUGAGCAACUACGACGACCGGUUUAAGCGCUGGUCCCAGCAGCCUUAAUAUCAACGACCGACUCAAGCGGAGGAAGUCCCGCUGAACCAAGCAUCAGGAGCAUCGAAGAUUGGCUUAAACGAGGGGAGACCCGCUAAUCCAAGCGAUCAAAUAACCAUCGACAAGCGGGAGGUGGCCCGCUGAUCUAAGCAACAUAAGCAGCAUCGCAAUCAAAAUUAGGACAUCGCACUCAAAAGGUCGUGAGUAACACAAAAACUAUUAUUCCAUGCGCAUGACGAUAUUUCAGCCGGUACGGUCGUGAAAGCAUACAAGUAGCGAUCGUAGCCGAGCGAGUUGGUCGACCGGUCUCCCAUGUUAAGGGUACCCGGUUCGAAUCCCAAGUUAACAACAUAUAUGAUCAUAUUUGAACAAACCAAUUAAAUUUCCACGUACGUAAUGAAUUUCACGAAUCGAAACAAAUAUACAAAAAUCCUAGGUCCCAGCGACGCUAAUUUUUCCGCUGGUUGCGAUUAUUUGGUUUGAAUGGCUAAAUUAAGUUGAGCGAAUAAGCACACCCCCACCGCUCCCUAUGGGGGAACACAUGAAGAAGUGACACGAUGAAUAAAAUUUACUGUUGCCGAAAAUAGGGAUGGAAAGAGAGGGGAGAUUAUGAAUGAUCACGGAACAAGCACGGUUAUUUGAAUGAAAAACACCCGAGAAAUUAUGUGAUUGUGAGGAUAAAGAUAUGAUGAUGAGAGAAGUGAAGUCUUUAGUAGGAAAGUUUAACGAGCCAACUGAAGAAUAGGGUAGUGGAGUUUAGGUAGAAAGAGAGAAUAAAGAAAAUUGAGGGAAAUGUUUAGAGUGAUAGGGGAAAUAGAUUCAUUAAAACGUGUAAAUAAAAUGUAACGAAAUUUAUGGAACUGUAAUGAAAAUUGGAAAUCAAUAGAGACCUUUUCUUUGGAGUAUUUGCAAAUUUAGUUUAUUUGUUUUGAUGAGAAUUCUAAAACUGGUUUUGUGAAGGGACCACGAUUAGCAAGUCUUGCUCUCCUCGUUGAUUUUUUCCGGUUGAUGAUUGUUGUUGGUUCUGGUUUCCCAAACGUGAAGGGAAAACGUGCAUUGUUUGAGACUUUACCGGUGAUGAUAACACAGGCAAAAGUGGGAUCUAUUUUGUCGAUCUGAGGUCGAUUGUUGCUAGCAACAAUUGCCACAGCAAUCAGUUCGUUUCCCAAAGUGCUUGGGACGGUCGAACCUGAAACAUUUCUGUGUUUGGGGGUUCAAAGGAAAAAACCUGCCCUUUGGCAGAGUCUCAGCUGGGCACCGAAACAGUGGUGAACGGCCUCCUUCGGGAGUGGCGCUUAAGCCGUUCACUAGCAACUCCCCCAUUCAUUCAUACCCGACCGUCACGGGUUACACGAUAUAGACCAGCACGGCAUGUUCCACACAGCAUCAGAGCAGCAGUGAAGAAGGAGUUGGAUUCUAUGGAGCGGCUUGGAGUUAUAGAAAGAAUACACGCACCAACGCCAGUCGUGAACGCUAUGGUUUUGGUUAAUAGGAAUGACAAGUUGCGCAUCUGUAUUGACCCGUCGCAGGUAAAUCAAAAUUUGUUAAGAAGACAUCAUCCUCUAACAACUAUUGAAGAGAUAGCGGCUCGAUUGAGGAAUU